AUGGCCGGAGACCCCUCGCCGCCCGGAUCCCCCGGCAAGCCCCGCCGCCGCCGGGAGCGCGACGACGCCGACCCCGCCCCCGACGCCGACGCCGACGCCGACGCCUCCCCGAAGCGCCGCAGGCACCACCACCACCGCCACCACCGCUCCCACCGCCACCGCCGCCCGGACGACGCCCAGCCCCCUCCGCCGCCCUCAGCGGCCGCCGACGGAGAAGACGUCGAGGAAGGGGAGAUACUAGACGAUGCCGCCGCCGGCGCCAUGGAAGUCGACCCCGCAUCUCCGCGAGCCGACCCGGAGCUAGCCGGCGAUCAUGCUGCCACCAACUCUGCCGUUGAGCCUAGCCGUUGUUCUUCACCCUCAAAAGAUGAAGGCAGGUUGAAUCACACAGCUCGUGGCUCUGAAAGCGGAGGCGUCUUUUCAGGCGACGAGGAUAAUAAUAAUGGUGAAGGACACGGACAGAGUCACAGGGCGUCAAGGUCUCCACGGCCGACAAAGGACAGGGGAAGGAAUCACAAGGACGAGCGUCAAACUCUGUCCUCUAAUAAAGAUUCUCAUCAGAGAGAUCACACCACCAACAGAUCUCCUCCCUCCAGGAACCACGCUCAAGAGGUUCAUUCUAGGAAUCACCCGAGGUCCGGAGAAGCUGAUGCCAAAGCUAAUGGUUCGCGGGCAAGUCCAAGGGCUGACCCUGAUCGUGACAACGACGACAGGAAUGGCUUUGGUAGGCAUGCAACUAGGACACGGGAGGACGAGAGAGAAAGGAGCAGCAGUCGUGUUGUUCGUGACGGACAUAGUGAUAGGCGUGAUAGCCGGGAAAGAUAUAGGGAUGAAACAAGGCACAGCAGCAUAGAUAGAGACAAUGUUGAUCGUAGGCACAGAGAAAGGAGCAGCAGUCAUAGUAGACCUGACAGAAGGGAGAGCGCACGCCACACUCGUGAAGAAAGCAGGGAGAGGGAAAGGCAAAGUGGCAGCUCAAGGCAUAAAGACCAUCAUAAAAGGGAUACAAGCAAGGAUCGUUAUAAAGAUUAUGUCACGGUUGCUACUGGACAUGAAAGGGAUAAAGUGAGAGAUGAUAGAGACAGGGGGCGGCACAGGGAUAGAGAAAGUGAAACUCGUAGAAGUGGAGCUGGAGAAGAACGCAAGGACAGAGUUAGCACUAGUGAUAGGCACAAGGACUCUACACGCUCGAAAUAUAGCACGUCCGAUGCUCAUAAAGACAGGUCAAGAUCUGGGGAGAAAGGCAGAGAUGUAGACAGCAGAAGCGAUCGAUCUAGAGAAAUGAAGGAAAAUUCUUUCAAGGAGGAAGAUGAGGAAGAGUAUCAAGAGAAAAUUGAGCAACAGUUAGCAAUGCAGGAAGAAGAUGACCCUGAAAAAAUUAAGGAGGAAGCGAGGAGGAGGAAAGAAGCUAUUAUGGCGAAAUAUAGGCAGCAACAAGCGCAGAAGCAGCAACCGGAAUCUUUACCUAGAAGCAAUGAUGAAGAAGCAAGAGCAGUGGAUAAAGAUGAGACUGUAGAUAUGAAAGGUGAUAAUGAUAGCAAUUCCACGGACAACGAGGAAGCUGAAAAUAAGCAGGAUUCUUCAGAUGCUUUUGUUGGUGAGGCAGACUUCAGUGUGGGCAAGUCCCCUGCUCAUGAUGCUGUUUUAGCCUGUGCUGAAGCAUUGGGCAAUGAGGGGACAACUGGUGUUUCAGGCCUUGGAGAGGGUACUCCAAAGAGUGAGAGAUCGGCAGAUAUGUUUUGUGAUGACAUAUUUGGAGAGUCACCUGCAGGAUUUCGGAAAUUGGGCAAGGGAGACGGCUUGUGUAUUGAGAAAAAUGCUCUGCAUGAUAAUUGGGAUGAUCCUGAGGGUUACUAUACUCAUCGAUUUGGGGAAUUGUUGGAUGGCCGUUAUGAAAUUACAGCUGCGCAUGGGAAGGGGGUGUUCUCAACAGUCGUGCGGGCAAAGGAUCUUAAAGCUGGGAAAGAUGAUCCUGAUGUAGUGGCUAUUAAAAUUAUUCGCAAGAAUGAGACAAUGUAUAAGGCCGGUAAGCAAGAGGUUUCAAUAUUAGAAAAACUGGCAAGCGCGGAUCGUGAGGACAGGCGCCACUGCGUGCGGUUCAUUUCUAGUUUCAUGUACCGGAACCAUCUUUGCUUAGUUUUUGAAUCUUUAAAUAUGAAUCUCCGUGAGGUACUAAAGAAAUUUGGUCGCAAUAUUGGGCUUAAACUGACUGCUGUGAGGGCAUAUUCAAAGCAGCUUUUCAUCGCCCUGAAGCACCUGAAAAACUGCAAAGUUCUGCACUGUGAUAUAAAGCCAGACAAUAUGCUGGUGAAUGAUGCUAAGAAUGUCCUGAAGCUAUGCGAUUUUGGCAAUGCUAUGCUUGCUGGAAUGAAUGAGGUCACCCCUUAUCUUGUCAGCCGUUUCUAUCGGGCACCUGAGAUCAUUCUCGGGUUGCCCUAUGAUCACCCAUUGGACAUCUGGUCAGUUGGCUGCUGCCUAUAUGAACUUUCUACUGGAAAGGUUCUGUUUCCAGGUGCAACGAAUAACGAUAUGCUUCGUCUUCAUAUGGAACUGAAGGGCCCCUUCCCUAAGAAGAUGCUCCGAAAGGGUGCUUUCACGAUGCAACACUUUGACCAAGAUCUCAAUUUUAAUGCUAUUGAGGAAGAUCCUGUGACCAAAAAGCCUAUGAGGAAGUUGAUUCUAAACAUCAAACCGAAGGAUUUUGGUUCUUUGGUUUCAAAUUUUCCUGGCGAGGACCCAAAAAUGCUCUCCAAUUUUAAAGACCUUCUUGAAAAAAUAUUUGUCUUAGAUCCAGAUAAGAGGAUAACCGUAUCACAGGCACUUAGCCAUCCAUUUAUCACUGGCAAGUGA
rnacentral:rRNA from 1 species